rnacentral:rRNA from 1 species
GACAGAGGAUGCAAGCGUUAUCCGGAAUCACUGGGCGUAAAGCGUCUGUAGGUGGUUUAAUAAGUCAACUGUUAAAUCUUGAGGCUCAACCUCAAAAUCGCAGUCGAAACUAUUCGACUAGAGUAUAGUAGGGGUAAAGGGAAUUUCCAGUGGAGCGGUGAAAUGCGUAGAGAUUGGAAAGAACACCGAUGGCGAAGGCACUUUACUGGGCUAUUACUAACACUGAGAGACGAAAGCUAGGGUAGCAAAUGGG